GAGUCGCGAGCGCGUGGUUACGGGUGGCUACAUUUUGUCGGGUUCUUGUAAUUAACUGCACUUUCGUGAACGCUCUCCACAAUCUAUACCCGAAUGCUGUUGCAGAGUCUGCUUCGCUUCUCGGCUGUCGUGGUGUCGCUAUUCCGUUGCUCCAGCGUAACUAUGAACAGUUUCAACUAAGAACACCUGAUGGUCAUUAUCACUUCAACAAGGUCAACACACAGGAUGUGCUGUACCCCACAGCUCUAGCGCAGAGCUUGGCAGAUGCAUUCCUGCAGAGACACAAGUAUAGCCUAUACAACAGGCGCCAUAAUCGGAAGACAGAUGACUGACGCCAGGCGGUGGGGCUGCGGUUGUGGAAGGAAGAUGUUUCUGCAAAGGAAGCGUUGGCGCGUGUGGCUAUUCCCGAAGGUCGUCGCCGGUCUUAUUUGCUCCAUCCAGCUCUUUGGACACACACCUAGGCGAAGUGUCGCACACGACUCGUCGCCCGAGAGUUCUUGGUGACAUAACCUCUACUCAGGGACAUAAUGCUGAAAUGCCUGACAAUGUACAGACGUACCCAUGCCGGAAUGCACUUAGCGGAAUGCAUGCAUGGACUCGGCCGGAAUUCAUGGAACACACCAGUAUCUUGUGUAUUUAUGGGUAUUUGGACAAUUUGUAUUUUAAAUAAAAUUAAAUACAUUUUA